GUAGGGUGCAAGCGUUAAUCGGAAUUACUGGGCGUAAAGCGUGCGCAGGCGGUUAUGUAAGACAGAUGUGAAAUGCCCGGGCUUAACCUGGGAACUGCAUUUGUGACUGCAUGGCUAGAGUUUGGCAGAGGGGGGUAGAAUUCCACGUGUAGCAGUGAAAUGCGUAGAUAUGUGGAGGAACACCGAUGGCGAAGGCAGCCCCCUGGGUCAAGACUGACGCUCAUGCACGAAAGCGUGGGGAGCAAACAGGAUUAGAUACCCUGGUAGUCCACGCCCUAAACGAUGUCUACUAGUUGUCGGGUCUUAAUUGACUUGGUAACGCAGCUAACGCGUGAAGUAGACCGCCUGGGGAGUACGGUCGCAAGAUUA
rnacentral:rRNA from 1 species